AUUGAACGCUGGCGGCAUGCCUUACACAUGCAAGUCGAACGGCAGCAUGGAGAGCUUGCUCUCUGAUGGCGAGUGGCGAACGGGUGAGUAAUGCAUCGGAACGUACCGUGUAAUGGGGGAUAACGUAGCGAAAGUUACGCUAAUACCGCAUACGACCUGAGGGUGAAAGCAGGGGAUCGCAAGGCCUUGCGUUAUACGAGCGGCCGAUGUCAGAUUAGCUAGUUGGUGAGGUAAAGGCUCACCAAGGCGACGAUCUGUAGCGGGUCUGAGAGGAUGAUCCGCUACACUGGGACUGAGACACGGCCCAGACUCCUACGGGAGGCAGCAGUGGGGAAUGUUGGACAAUGGGGGCAACCCUGAUCCAGCCAUGCCGCGUGAGUGAAGAAGGCCUUCGGGUUGUAAAGCUCUUUCGGCCGGGAAGAAAUCGCACAGGCUAAUACUCUGUGUGGAUGACGGUACCGGCAUAAGAAGCACCGGCUAACUACGUGCCAGCCGCCGCGGUAA
rnacentral:rRNA from 1 species